AUUCCCUGAAGUCCUCACUUUCCCACACAAUGGUCAUCGACACACGCAAUUCUACCAUUCUUCCAAGAAAAGGUGCCUUACUGAAGAUCAACCAGGAACUGGCAGGUUACACUGGAGGAGAUGUCAGUUUCCUGAAGGAAGACUUUGAAAUUCAGCUCAACAAGACUCUGUUCUGGGACUCGGUGAGAUGCUGUGGAGGAAAC